CCAGCUUGUUUGCCCCGAUUCUGAAAUCCCCAGUUUCCCUAAAUUCUGAAAUCCCCAAUUUCCCCAUCUCCUCCGUCGCCUUCUCCCCGUGCCGUCGAGUGUCCCCUCUGCUGCGCCGCCGUCCUCUACCGCCACUAAUCGAAUCAGUUACUGCUUCCUGCUCUUCCUGCAACUAUUGGUUCAACUGAAGCUGCCAUUUAAUCUUCGAAUUAAUAUUUGGUACUAUCGAGCACCUGAAUUAAUAUUUGGUGCAACUAAAUACACCACAACCAUUGACAUCUGUUCUAGCUCUGUUUGCUGGUGAGAGUGGAGUAAGACCAGGUUGUUGAAAUUAUUAAGGUACGUUUUACUUCAAAAUUCUAAUCAAUAAUAGUUUUAUUAUGAUUACUUUGGAAAAAUUAAUAUUUUGGGGCUGCGAUUUUGUAUAGAUUUAAUUGUUGGUUGUGUUUGGAGCAGAACUAUUUUGUUUUCAAAUUAUUUUUAA